UGUUAUCUUCCCUUUUAGCUUUGAGACUUCAAGGAACUGUUUCAAGAGCAGAUAAAAGUAUCAGAUUGUGUGACUGAGCAUGCACCCUUGUAAUAUUAUUAAUGGUAUUGAAGUCCUAAUUGAUUUUGGAAGCGAAUACAAAACAAAUAUAAAUAAUAUAUUGAUCUGGAAUAUGAAAAGCAUCAUUCAUUGCACUUGAGGUUCCCAGCUCCUGGAAAAGAGGCAAUGUUUGUUUGCAAAUGCUCAUGAUUUGUGUCCAUGUAUUUAUGAAUUGAUUUCUGCUGAAAUGAAGAACACUUACCCAUAUUUUACAUUCACUGUUAAAAGCAAGAGUCAGACUGCCAUUUUUGUUGCCAUAUCUCUUUUUAUUUCCAACAUAUCUUUUUAUUGCAGGUUUAUUCCAAUAGCCUUGACAUACUGCCCUAAAGUAUCAUAUUUCCAGUGCUUCUCAUUGGUGACCAGUAAGGAAAGAUCUGUAUCUACCAUUAGAACGAAUAAAGAGAAAUAUUUUAGAAUAGACAUGACAAACCAGUUGUGUUCCUGUGGAUGGCUCAGGAAGCUGAUGUGAUCCUAAUGUAAGAAGUGACUUCCAGACAUCUUCUGCUUUGGCCUCCCUGUCACAGUGGACACCGAAAGAAUCACACGAGGACACGCUGGUGUUUCCUCCACUGGGACAGAAUUAAUGUUUUUCUUACUGAAAUAUGGCCUAAAUAUGGUUUCAAAGGCAUGUGUCAGUUCUUCUUUUCACGCCGUUCUAAGUAUCUUACCUCAGGUAAGAGGCAACAGCUGUAUUCUGAACAGCAGCAAGUGCAAGACUUUUCAGCAGUUCCUGUCAAAAAUUCUGGCAAGGUGCAAACAAGCUGGCUCAGGUGCAAAGAGGCAGAUGCUGAUGAGUGACACUGAAGUUCCCUUUAUUCUGUCACCAUUUAGCAGCUGCAGAGGCUGAGGAGCAUGACCAGGCACACAGCUUAGGAAUACACAGCCACAUCUCAUUUAUUGUUUCUAUACAUUGCAAUGAGCUGGAAAUACCCAUUAUAAGCCCAACCAUUUUCAUGUUCACACACCACUGCUGGACACCCAAUGAGAUGUGCUGGCCAACCAGUCAUCAACAAACUGAUCUAUGAAAAGGGAGGAUGCUUCAUCAUGCUGUGUUCCUCUUUUCCUCCUAUUUUUUUUUUUUUUCUCUUCUAUUAGCAAUUUUACAGCUUAUCAUGUAAGUGCCUUUUUUUCUGACCACAGGAUGAUUUCUCUUCUUUGCUGUGAACUGUUAUUAGUGACUAUCAACUCCACAGCUUCCCCUCCCUAUGUUUUGAUUCCCUUAUUUUGCCUGGCUCAGUAGCCUACAUGCUUUCUUGCUCCUAGUAUGAGGCUCAUCAGCUUGUGCUCAAGUCCUUGGUCUCUGGCACUCUGUCCUACCUGUUAGGAUAUUGCCUUGUAAAGAGUCAUUAAAUGUUUGCUUCUGAGCUCUAAGUGGUUCCAGCAAACAAUAUAAUUUUUGACAUAGAAUAACACUCUACCUCCCUCUUUGUCCACUCAUCCCUUCCUAAAGAGGUAAUAGGAGAAGAAGCAGCAUUCCAGUCCUGGAGAUCUCACCAAGUUUCAUUUCUCCCCAGAAAGCUGAAUUUAUGCUCAAAAAUGCAUUUCAAUUGCUAUUAUGACACAGGUCAGUAACAUUGUUGUGUAGGAAAUUAGCACAUUUAUCUCUUCUUAUCCCUGAGUGCCUUGAUUAAUUUGUUCUUGGCAUCUUGAUUUUAUGUUGAAUAAGUGCUUAUUUAACCUCCUCUCUUUUGGUAAUUGAAUAUCUUCUGAAUUAUCCUCCAUGUCUGCCCCCUUAAGCAGCGAGUUGCAGGUUACACUAGAAGUAACUUUCCUCUAAAAUAGAUUUGUCUUGCACAAAAAUCCUCUAUUUAAAUGCCUUUUUUCCCCCAGAACUUCACUUCCACAGCCUUACACACUGCUUCUUUCAGAGAAGAGCAAAAGACAGUCCCUGGAUGUGGUCUUUGCAUGUUCAGCAUCACUCCAGGGUCUUUGUGAGUCAUCUGCAGUCUGUGCAUUUGUGAUGAGGGCUUAAAAGUUGCAUCAAAGAGCAGCAAGCCAUGGGGUAUUUUUUAUCUCUGCAACCAUAUUUCUACGUCAAGGUAACUUCUGCAGUUUCUCUUAAUACCUGUUAGUGCCUGAGUGCUCUACAUGUUUGCUUCAGUUUUCAUGUGUUGUAAGUCCCUUGUGACUUCAAGAAGAAAUAAAACCCGAUCUGUCCACUCACACUCACUGAUCCAUCUCUGUCUACAACAUAUGAAACCUAGAAUGCUGUCUGGAAGGAAAAUAUCUCACUCUGCUCCUCAAGUUUUCUUGGGAAAUGCUUGGUGCCUUGUUUUUGUUCUUUUUUCUUGCCCCCUUUUCUUUGAGGAGCAGAUGUUUCAGAGCAGAGUGUUUUGAGGGUUUGGAGACUAAAGUCUGAUGUUAUCAAAAUUACUCACCUGGCUCCUUCUGCUAAGUCAGAGCCCACUGCCCAUUCUAUAACCCAGAAAUGUAAGACAAGCCAUACACCACAACUCAGCAAUGCCAUGUGAAAAACCAGGGGAUGUAGAGACCUGUCAUCCUGCUAGAAGAAUAGUAAUCCUUCAACUCCUCUUCAUUUAGAUGUCUCUGCUUUUUUGGGAGUCACUUAAUCAUAGGAGAUUAAACAUGCAUCAUAUGUAUAAGUAAUGCUGUUCCAGGGAUUUAAUGGGAGCAGACUGAUUAAAUCCUAUCAAGGAUACAGUUGUCAUCAGAACUGUCUUGAGAUAAUGAACUUGACACUGAAGUAGAAUCCAUCACUCCACUAUUGAAUUACUAGAAUUAGGAGUUGUUAUCAAAAUUAAGAGCCAACUCACCAUACAUCUAAGUAGGUGUAUAGCAUGAAUCUAAAAUCUUGCCCUUUUUUUGGUCUUAGACAUCAAGUAUCAAACUAUAAGAAGAAUAUUAGGAUUUACAACUCUGAACCAAUUCUGGGCUACAGCACUGCUACUGGGGCUUUUUUGUUUGUUUUUUAAAGCAUAGAUGAAAGGAAUGAUGCAUCUUAUCUUUCAAAAAUACAUGGAAAACUAAACCCACUGCCCUGCCUUUUCUUAGAUUUCAACAUAAAUGUGAGUCUGAAGAACCCAAUUUACAGUUGAUUUCUACCUGAUAUAAUGAAAAAAAUCAUGUCUUACCAAACUGGAGAGUGACAUAACCUUUAGUUCACAGUUCCAGAC